rnacentral:tRNA from 1 species
GCUCUCGUAGCUCAGUUGGUAGAGCGCGGCACUAGUAUCCGAUAGCUAUAUCAUGCAUAUGCCGAGGUCUACGGUUCAAAUCCGUACGGGAGCA